CCAGGAAGAAGACAGUGGGUUCUGCCAUUUUCUUGUGCUCCACUUGGGCGUGAUUUGUAGCAUUUUCUGCUUUGUGCAAUUUCUUUGCAGGAGUCUGUGUGAGGCCUAUGUCCAGCCACGCGUCCAGGGUUAGCAAAGGCAAGCCCACUUCACUAAGCUGAUCCUUAACCUCUGCAUGCCGCUCUAUUCCAAGGGCUUCCAGGCUAGCUGACAGGACUCCAGUGUGAAACUCCUCUUCCACCGUGCCUGCCAGGUGACAGGAAUCCUUAAAAGAGGAACACGGUCAGGUUGGAGCCAAGCGCACCGAAGAUGGAGAGAAGAACCAGGAGCCGAGGAAGCCGGUGGAGUCCAGUGGGAAGACAAGCACACAGCCUUCCUCCCCUCGGAGCCUCCCGGAGCUGGCGCUGCCCACACCUUGGUUUUCAACUCAGGGAACACACUCUGGACCCUUGACCUCCAAGAUGGUAGAGAAAAAGUUUGUGUUGUUUUAAACAACAAAGGUUGUGGUCACUAGUUAUGGUGAGAGUAAGAGCCCGCCGUAUGUCCAGCCAGGGGGAAAGGUGCUGCCAUGCUGCUCCUGAGAGGCGAGGUCGAGAGUCAUGAACAGUGCUCCGACACACUGAGCAUCGUCACUGGAGGAGCAACGUGUCUCUGGAUUUCUUGUCACGUGAGGAAAAAUAAACCCUAUAUGUUUAUGUUACUGUUAAUUACAGCCAAGAACUUUUCUCACUAAAACCCAGAAGCAACUAAGCAGGAUAGUUCGGAAUCUGCCCGAAGCGGACCAUCUCACCGGAAUCGAUGAGAAAACAAUGUACUGCGUCAACUCCAGUCUCGUGGAUCGCUCAUUCAUAAACACGUCCUGACGGCCUUCCACACGCUGGUCACUGACAGCGAGCACACCCUGCCCUGCCCUCUGAGAGCUUCCCCAGCAGGUGGAAAACGCUACCAUAACCAGAGCACAGAGAAUUCUUGUCAAACAUACGAUUGAUCCCAAACCAAAGAUGUUGUGAAGCACAUCAGUAAUUUUCUGGGGGCUGGAGAUGUAGCUCAGUGGUAGAGUGCUUGCCUAGGAUGUGCGAGGCACUGGGUUCGAGCCUCAGAACCACAUGAAAAUAAUGUAUUGUGUCAUCUACAAUGAAAAAUAUUUUUUUUUAAAUAAUUUUCUGCACCAGCAGCCAGUUCCCAGCACAAGCUGGGCAGUGGGCUGGCUGGCUGGCUCUGAGAGUCCUUUACCUUUUUAAAUUUGCUUUUUCAUUUGCUAACUGAGGAGUUAAUCCUGAUGACCACUAAAUUCUCUUCCAGUUCGUCUUUCCUAUCCUGUGAUCAUUGCCAUGUGAUAAGGAAAUAUUAAUAACAUUUUGGAAACACUUUGGAAGCAUUGGGGUAAAAGCAGUUAUACGUGACAAAUCAAGAUUGGCAGAUGAGAGGUACCACACUAGCAGCAGAGUUAACAAAGUACCUUCCUUCCUGGUUGGGAGAACAUUGCAGGAACUGAUGCAGAAUAGAAUUGGCAAUCGUUUAAUAAGCUCCAACUGUGUACACAGCAUCUUUCUACAGCUGGAAAUCCAGAGUGACAGACAGCACCCCUAGCCUACUCUCCAGGAGCCCUGGUGUGUGUGUACUGGGUUGUUCUUCCGCUGGGACAUGCCACUGUGACCUUACGAUACGAUACGUUAUUGCCAGUGACAGCCCUGAAGGCUCCUGCAGGAGUCCUGGUGAAAGCCAUCCGGCAGGAAGGCAUGUGAGCAGGAGGCCAAGAGCUGAAGGUGUGAAAGGCACGCAGAGCCGUUUGGGGCAGUGGCCUAGAGAUGUCAGGGCUGCAGCCAAGCUGGAGCCAGACACAGCUCACCCAGACACCUGCCCACAGGUGUGUCCCAGAGCCAUGGCGGCACGAGGGUGGCUGGGUGCAGGGAACACAGGUUGUGUAAUGGGGUACUCUGGCUCUCCAUACUGCUCAGGUGGACUCUCCGAGGCUCACUUCCUCAGCUGUGAGAGGGUAAUGGGGACGUUCUACUUGCAGACUGUCUGGAGGAGAUGCCGCAGUGUUGCCUGGUGUGGGCCUGCAGCUGGCCGAGAGCCACUGGCCUCCAUGCAAGAUUCACCUGGUGGCCAGUGCCACGGUGACCCUCCUCCCCGUGGGCUUUCCACACCGACGCAGCCUCCGCCUUCAGCCAUGCCAGGGGCCAGAACAGCGGGAGUUGGAACCAGGAGCCCUUGGUCUGAGGCCCAACUCCGGCAGUACCCACGAGCCUUCCCCACAGCUGGAUCGCCUCCUGCAUAGGCGAGGACAAUGAUCUAUUGAUUUCGAAGCAUGUCGCAAGGGUGAAAUGAGGUGUGAAAGGACUUUGUCCACGGGCGUUUCUGCCCUUCCUGCUCUUGGUGCCAAAACCCUUAACCGGCCCUGCUGGGCACAAGGAGCAGUGAGGCGGUCGGCCUCCAGCCCCAGCCCUGCCACUUGCUGGCUGUCCUCUGCAAGUGUCUCCAGCACUCCAUGCCCAGGGCUGUCAUCUGCCCAUGAGGAUGACACCCAGCGCACCUCCUGUGCCACGGGACUGUGCACUGGAGGAGCGAGCCCCGCGCGAGCUCAGACUGCCUCCGGUGUGCGGACCCCUGGGGGAGAGCUGGGGACCAAGACACUUUCCCUCUGGAAAGCGGAGCAACUCCGGGGGGCGUGUCCGCACGCGCUCCGUGUGGGAGGUGCUUGCUCUGCAUCGCGAGAACGUCGCAGGCGCGGGAACUGGGCCGGCCCUCACGCCUGCCUUUGACUGAGCGUGUGCUCUUACGUCGCGGCUCGGUGCCCUGGCCAAGUCCCUGCGGCAUCAGAGCGCAGGGCUGAGACGCUGCCGCGGCAGGGCGGCACCGGGGCACCUGAGCCGUCAGGAUCUCUUCCCUGCUCCCCAGCCCUCUGUCAAGUGGUGCUUCUUAUCUCCUCCUCACACGGGAAGGCCCAGGGGACAGCGGGAUUUGGACACAGUCACACAGAGGAGGGGGCCAGGUGAGGACAGAGGUGGAGGCCCCUGCAGUGACCCAUCCGCAAACCGAGGGCCACCAAGGAUGGCCAGCAUGUCCGAGCUGGGGGAGGCGGGAUGGGUGCUCCCUCAAGCCCCAGCAGGAGCUUGAGACCAGCCCCAGAGGCCUUGGUGUCAGACGCACGGUAUCCAGAGUUGGGAGCCGAUUUCCACUGCUUAAGUCCCAGUUUGUGAUCAUUUGUUUACCGCAGCCCUGGGAAACUACUUUUUAAACGAAAGUUCUAAUCUGUGAUUGGCCGUAGGCCCCACCACCCCCUAAGGCCUCCUGCCGCCCAGCUUCACUCCCUGCAGCCUGACUCUAGGACAUUCUAAUUGGCAACCCCUGGUUUAGUCAAUACACUUGCGUAAGAUGGAGUUUGAAAGGAAAUACCUUAUAAGAGUAAAUGCCAGGUACAUCAGGUAUCUAAAUAUAGAAAAAGGAAUAAAGAGAAGAAAGCCGGGGCUAAUUCCUUUACAACCGGGGGUGGAGAAAGAUUGUCUGACCAUAACUCAAAAUCCAGAUGUAAUAAAAGAAAAGAUGAACACACUUAAGGACGUUAAAGUUAAAGACUCUUUUUUAUGGUACACACACCAUCAACAGAAUCAAAAGGCAACUGAUGAAUGGGGAAGAGCAUUUUCAAUGUAAAUCUCAGAUAAAGGGAUAAUGUGACUCACAUGGAAAGAAUUAGAAAUGGAGGGAAGUGAGCAGAAACCUGAUUAAAAAACGAGUUGAAAGCUGGGUGUGGUGGUGCACACGGAUAAUCGCAGCAACUUGGGAGGCGGAGGCAGGAGGAUCAGAGUCUGCCGUCAGCCUCAGCGAUUUAGCCAGGCCCUAAGCAACUUAGCGAGACCCUGUCUCAAAGUCAAAAGGUCUGGGUGUACAACUCAGUGAUAAAACACCCCUGUGUUCAAUCCCCAGUACCAAAAAAAGGAGAAAAAAGAGCCAACCAUGAACAGGCAACUUAAAGAUACAGAGCGACAUCCCAUCUAGUUCUCUGACCCUGUCAGAGACCCAAGAUCCUAUUAUCAUUUGAUAAAUGUUUCUGCUGGAACUAGAUGUAGUAAAUUCUGUUGUCUGCAAUUUAUGUGGUGGCGGGGGCUAUUUCCAGAUAUCAGCCCACCUAGAGGCACAAGGACUUCGCAGCCUACAGCACACACCAGCGUUGCUCACACCAGCUUCUAGAGACAGAGACAGCUUUAGAGGAGUUCACUGCAUGCUUUUCCUAGUAUUCAGGGUUUCAUUGUAACAAAAGUAUUAGUUUCUGCAUAGCUACUUGGAAGGAGGGAGAGUGGUGGAUUGGCUGCUCUCUGAUGUGCUUGUCUAAGAAGAAGGCUUCAGCAUUUCGGAGUUACACCUUGCUGCUCAAAAAGCGCAGUAUCUGACUUUGGAAUGUGUUUUGCACUCGCACCUUGAUCUGCGUAUCUCUUGUCUGGAGACUUGACGCAAUAGCAGGGGCUUCACUGGAAGGCAGUGGGGGCAUCUGACUUCCCACCUGCCCCACGGAGCUCUGAUACUCGGUACCUCUCUGAAUCCUUGCAAGCAAGCAGAGGGGGCCGUGUGGUUCAGUCUGGUGCCCCGUUCAGGGUGAGCAGGGCUGUCCUUUGAUACCCUCUCAGCACAGAACAACUUGGAUGCCCAGCACAAGGGGAUUGUCAAAUAGGCCAUGGUUCGCCCAUACAAUGGAUUCCAUGCUGCCCUCCGGACCACCAAGUGGAGUCACUGAUGUAGAAAGACAUCUGGAUACGCAAAGCCACAAGAGUGUUCACAGAUAAGGAGCAGCGUCUUCCUUUCAUAGGGUACCUAGGAUUCUUACCAUUUUUUUUCAUAAAAGUAUGUAUGCAUAAAUAUAUAAUUGUCUAGAACAUUUUAAAAUUGUGACUGAGAAGGUGUUUUUGUGACUUUUUAUAUUACUUUUCAGUGAGGUAUAAUCUCUUUACGAGGAGCAUAUAUUACCUUGUAAACAAACAAAACAGUGAUAAUUUAUAUAGGUUUUUAAAUCUGUAACUUAUUUACUUGAAAAUGCUUGAUACAAGUGGGAGUGGAACCAGCAGAUGACAAGGGAGUGGCCGUGUCACCUUGGGUCCACUGGAGCGUGCACCUGCUGCCCAGCCACACCUGGCCGGGGAGGUGGGAGGACGGCCAGGGGAGGGAGUUGGUCCCCCUGGGCCACACAGCGCCAUCCCGGCUCUAAAACCCAUACUGCCUCUGUGGAAGCUGCCCCAUGCUGGCAGGAAGGGUCACCACACCGAUUCUUACCUUUGGGGCAUGUUUGGAAUUUUCUAUAAUAAAAAGGAAAAAUAGACCCACGCAAGGCAGAGCACAGGAACUGCCUGCUGACCUUCAGAGGACACCUUGGUUGUGGCACAAGAGACAUGGCAUAUGAGGAACCACAAGCACACAGCACAAGUGAGGCUGCGGACCCCGAGGUGGGAACCAGAGCCACUGGCUGGUGGCCUCCGUCAGCAGCUUAUCCUUGCUAAGCCUCUGCUUGCCACCUGUAAAGUAGGCACAUCAUGUGCACUCGAAAUUUGAACGUUCAUGAGGAGAUCGCUGCUGUUAACUAAGCAGACAAGGGGGCUGGAGCAGGGGCGCUAUGCCCCAGCAGCUGUUGUCAACUGCGCGUCAGGAUCACCGGGUCGUCAGUGAGAGUGCAGAUUCCAAGGCACCGUCUGCAGGGAGCGCCACUCCUUCUCUGGGAUCAGCUCAGGAAUCUCCAUUUUAAUAAAGAGCCCAGGCGAUGCUGACUGGGGAAAGAUGGCACCUAGCCCAACCCCAGGCACCCCAGGCUGCUGUGGGCAUGACUGUGUCGCUGGUAGAAACCAGGGCUUGGCAUGCUUGGGGACAUCUGCCCAUUUAUGACUGCAGGUGGACUUUGUCAGCAAUCAUGGGUAAGAAAAACUGGCACCAGUAAGACACCUUUGGAGUCUCCAGUUUGAAGCAGUGGCAA